rnacentral:rRNA from 1 species
UACAGAGGAUGCAAGCGUUGUCCGGAAUCAUUGGGCGUAAAGAGCGUGUAGGCGGCCCGAUAAGUCCGCUGUGAAAGUCCAGGGCUCAACCCUGGGAUGCCGGUGGAUACUGUCGGGCUCGAGUCCGGAAGAGGAGUGUGGAAUUCCUGGUGUAGCGGUGAAAUGCGCAGAUAUCAGGAGGAACACCAAUGGCGAAGGCAGCACUCUGGGACGUGACUGACGCUGAGACGCGAAAGCGUGGGGAGCAAACAGG